rnacentral:SRP_RNA from 1 species
CCGUGCUAAGCGGGGAGGUAGCGGUGCCCUGUACUCGCAAUCCGCUAUAGCGAGGCCGAAUUCCUCUCUGAGGCUAUCGAUUUUCCUGGUCUGCCCUAAGUAAGUGGUGUUGACAUUUGGGUUCCGCGCAACGGAAUCCUGUGAACCCUGUCAGGUCCGGAAGGAAGCAGCAGUAAGCAGGUUCUUCCGUGUGCCGCGGAGUAGCCUGGAUCGAGCAAACUGCUUAGGUAACGCUUGAGGGUCUAUAGUCGAAGAGAGGUGCACGG